CUACAUUUUGGGUCUUAAUAUUUUAAUUUAAUUUUCCUAAUUGUUUUGCACCAAAACCCCAAGUCAAGUUCCUUCUAUGUGUAAAUGUACGUGGCAAUAAAAAAACGAUUCUGAUUAUUGUCUCACCCAUCUCAUAUCUGCCUCCUCUGCUCUGAUGGAUUCCUCUGGAUUUAUUUCAACCUGGCUGGCUUAUGUUCAGUACCAGAGGACUCACCUGGCUAAAAGGUUUUAUAAGUAACCAUGCCAAAAUGCAACUUCUGAAGGCCUGUGUCAUCCUUCUCCUUCUGACUGUGUUGUUCUUUACACUAAGAAACAUGGAUCUGCUGCAGAUUAAUUUUGAAGAAAACUCUAUCAUCUUCCUCAAGAAAGUGUUGGGGUUGUAUCAAGUAAACUUUGGUUAUAUUCUUUAAUGAUUAUAUUUAAUUAUUAAUAAUAUAAAUAACAACAUCAUUAAACUAUGUUUAUCAACUCUUGGGGCACCACCCUAUAAUCAGGGAAAUAUAACCAAAAUGUCACUCAGAUCAGUCUCAAAUUAGUUACUUUAUUACUAAUAUUAUUAAUAAUUAAUAAAUUGAAGGCGUGAAAUCAGUACACAAAGCCCUCGCACCCAGCUUAUAUCACAAUGUAAAUACACCAGUAAUCAAAAACAACUGCUCUCUUAAAA